CACAGCUUCAGGGUCGUCUGCGUUGACAUGGAAUAUGGGAGCGUUGACCACUCUGGCGACGUCGGUGGGAUAAGGUGAUGAGCGGGCCAUACGAGGGUCAGUGGUGAAGCCAAUCUAAAGAGGGCGGGGUUCAGGCACAUCUUGUCUGCCUCAAAGAUUUGGUGACAGCACAACCUAAUGAUCAAAAGUUAUACAACAAGGUCUCUGGUUCACCUCAUCAGCAGCUUCCAGCUUCGAAUCGAACUGGCAGAAGAUCUGCUCCAGCUCCUUACGGAUCACAUUAGCAAGAACAUUCAGACGGCCUCUGA